GUACGGUUAGUGUAAUGGCAGAAGCCAGCUUAACUGCGAGACAGACACGUCGAGCAGAUACGAAAGUAGGUCAUAGUGAUCCGGUGGUUCUGAAUGGAAGGGCCAUCGCUCAACGGAUAAAAGGUACUCCGGGGAUAACAGGCUGAUACCGCCCAAGAGUUCAUAUCGACGGCGGUGUUUGGCACCUCGAUGUCGGCUCAUCACAUCCUGGGGCUGAAGUCGGUCCCAAGGGUAUGGCUGUUCGCCAUUUAAAGUGGUACGCGAGCUGGGUUUAGAACGUCGUGAGACAGUUCGGUCCCUAUCUGCCGUGGGCGUUUGAGAGUUGAGAGGAGCUGCUCCUAGUACGAGAGGACCGGAGUGGACGAACCUCUGGUGUUCCGGUUGUCACGCCAGUGGCACUGCCGGGUAGCUAAGUUCGGAAUCGAUAACCGCUGAAAGCAUCUAAGCGGGAAGCGAGCCUCGAGAUAAGCUCUCACUAGCACAUUAAGUGCUCUGAAGGGUCGUUGCAGACGACGACGUUGAUAGGCGGGGUGUGGAAGCGUUGUAAGGCGUUGAGCUAACCCGUACUAAUUGCCCGUGAGACUUAACCAUACAACACCC
rnacentral:rRNA from 1 species